rnacentral:rRNA from 1 species
CCUACGGGAGGCAGCAGUGGGGAAUAUUGCACAAUGGGCGCAAGCCUGAUGCAGCCAUGCCGCGUGUGUGAAGAAGGCCUUCGGGUUGUAAAGCACUUUCAGCGGGGAGGAAGGCGUUAAGGUUAAUAACCUUGGCGAUUGACGUUACCCGCAGAAGAAGCACCGGCUAACUCCGUGCCAGCAGCCGCGGUAAUACGGAGGGUGCAAGCGUUAAUCGGAAUUACUGGGCGUAAAGCGCACGCAGGCGGUCUGUCAAGUCGGAUGUGAAAUCCCCGGGCUCAACCUGGGAACUGCAUUCGAAACUGGCAGGCUAGAGUCUUGUAGAGGGGGGUAGAAUUCCAGGUGUAGCGGUGAAAUGCGUAGAGAUCUGGAGGAAUACCGGUGGCGAAGGCGGCCCCCUGGACAAAGACUGACGCUCAGGUGCGAAAGCGUGGGGAGCAAACAGGGUUAGAUACCCGUGUAGUC